rnacentral:tRNA from 1 species
GCGACACUAGCUCAGCUGGUAGAGCGCACCCUUGCCAAGGUUGAGGUCACGAGUUCGAACCUCGUGUGUCGCUCCA